UACAGAGGUCUCAAGCGUUGUUCGGAUUCAUUGGGCGUAAAGGGUGUGUAGGUGGCGCCGUAAGUCGGGUGUGAAAUUUCGGAGCUUAACUCCGAAACUGCAUUCGAUACUGCCGUGCUUGAGGACUGGAGAGGAGACUGGAAUUUACGGUGUAGCGGUGAAAUGCGUAGAUAUCGGGAGGAACACCGGUGGCGAAGGCGGUUCUCUGGGCCUGACCUGACGCUGAGGCAGCGAAAGCGUGGGGAGCGAACAGG
rnacentral:rRNA from 1 species